UACGUAGGGGGCAAGCGUUAUCCGGAUUUACUGGGUGUAAAGGGAGCGUAGACGGAAGAUCAAGUCUGAUGUGAAAUCCCAGGGCUCAACCGUGGAACUGCAUUGGAAACUGAUUUUCUGGAGUACCGGAGGGGUGAGCGGAAUUCCUGGUGUAGCGGUGAAAUGCGCAGAUAUCAGGAAGAACACCGGCGGCGAAGGCGGCUCACUGGACGGUAACUGACGUUGAGGCUCGAAAGCGUGGGUAGCAAAC
rnacentral:rRNA from 1 species